UGCAGUCGAGCGAAUGGAUUAAGAGCUUGCUCUUAUGAAGUUAGCGGCGGACGGGUGAGUAACACGUGGGUAACCUGCCCAUAAGACUGGGAUAACUCCGGGAAACGGGGCUAAUACCGGAUAACAUUUUGAACCGCAUGGUUCGAAAUUGAAAGGCGGCUUCGGCUGUCACUUAUGGAUGGACCCGCGUCGCAUUAGCUAGUUGGUGAGGUAACGGCUCACCAAGGCAACGAUGCGUAGCCGACCUGAGAGGGUGAUCGGCCACACUGGGACUGAGACACGGCCCAGACUCCUACGGGAGGCAGCAGUAGGGAAUCUUCCGCAAUGGACGAAAGUCUGACGGAGCAACGCCGCGUGAGUGAUGAAGGCUUUCGGGUCGUAAAACUCUGUUGUUAGGGAAGAACAAGUGCUAGUUGAAUAAGCUGGCACCUUGACGGUACCUAACCAGAAAGCCACGGCUAACUACGUGCCAGCAGCCGCGGUAAUACGUAGGUGGCAAGCGUUAUCCGGAAUUAUUGGGCGUAAAGCGCGCGCAGGUGGUUUCUUAAGUCUGAUGUGAAAGCCCACGGCUCAACCGUGGAGGGUCAUUGGAAACUGGGAGACUUGAGUGCAAAAGAGGAAAGUGGAAUUCCAUGUGUAGCGGUGAAAUGCGUAGAGAUAUGGAGGAACACCAGUGGCGAAGGCGACUUUCUGGUCUGUAACUGACACUGAGGCGCGAAAGCGUGGGGAG
rnacentral:rRNA from 1 species